rnacentral:rasiRNA from 1 species
CGCUCAGAAACGGCAAGUCUCCCGGCC